CGCAUCUGUGCAUGCAGCAUAUCAAUAAGCGGAGGAAAAGAAACUAACAAGGAUUCCCUUAGUAACGGCGAGUGUAGCGGGAAGAGCUCAAAUUUGAAAUCUUCAAGGUUUUACCUUGACGAAUUGUAGUUUAAAGAAGUGUUUUCUGUUGAAGUUUUGGUAAAAGUUCUUUGGAAUAGGACAUCAUAGAGGGUGAGAAUCCCGUAUAUUGACCAUUAUUUUCAGCUGUGUGAUACACUUUCAAAGAGUCGGAUUGUUUGGGAAUGCAGUCCAAAAUGGGUGGUAAAUUUCAUCUAAAGCUAAAUAUUGGCGAGAGACCGAUAGCAAACAAGUACCGUGAGGGAAAGAUGAAAAGAACUUUGAAAAGAGAGUUAAACAGUACGUGAAAUUGUCGAAAGGGAAGCGUUUGACACCAGUGUUGUUUUCUCGAAAAUCAAUUAAAAAGAGUUUGAUUUUGUUGUGUAUUGACCUUAACAGCUUGCAUUUCAAUUUUCUUGCUUUUUUUAAUGCACUUUUCGUUUAACAAGUCAACAUCAGUUUCUUUUGUUGUAAAAAGGUCAUUGGAAGGUGGCUUUCUUAUCGGAGAAAGUGUUUAUAGCCUUUGACUCCUGUAAUCGGAGAGACUGAGGUCUGCAGCGUAGAUCCUUCGGGGUUAGAUACAUUUGUGCUAAGUUAUAGCUUUUUAUAGACAACUUGUUGACUAUGAUUAGUCUUGUAGCUUACUCGCUUAUGCUAUUUUACCUACGCUUAGGAUGUUGAUGUGAUACUGCGAGCA
rnacentral:rRNA from 1 species